rnacentral:rRNA from 1 species
CGGAGGACAAGAAACUAAACAGGAUCCCCAUAGUAAUGGCGAAUGAACCGGGAUAAACUCAGCAUGGAAAUUGGGGCCUUUGGCUUUGACUUGUAAUCUGGUGAGGCAUUGCCAACAGAGGCGCAUAUGUAAGUCUCUUGGAAAAGAGCAUCAACGAAGGUGAGAGUCCUGAUUGUCAUGUGCAGCCCCCCUGUGCACGGUGUGCCUUCUAAGAGUCACGUUCCUUGGGAUUGGAGCGCAAAUUGGGUGGUAACUUUCAUCUGAAGUUAACCAAUGGUUUGGGGCCGAUAGGAAACAAGUACCAUGAGGGAAAGGUGAAAAGGACUUUGGAAAGAGAGUUAAAAGUGCCUGAAAUUGCUGAAGGGAAGCGAAUGGAACCAGUGGUGCUGGGUGAGAUUGUCACAUGCUGCAAGGAUGGUUGCUGCCACAACGCAAGUGUGCUGGCAAUUUGUGAACUGCUAGUGUGUGGUGUGUCUUUGUUGUUAUGCUUGUGCGUAAGCUUUAGUGUUUGUCUGGCUGCAGGGCUGUCCAUCCUCAAGCUUUGCUGUGGUUGCGAUGAGCAUAACCUUCUGCACAGAUCUUGACGAAAUGGUUUCAUUCGAUCCGUCUUGAAACACGGACCAAGG